rnacentral:rRNA from 1 species
CCUACGGGAGGCAGCAGUGGGGAAUUUUGGACAAUGGGGGAAACCCUGAUCCAGCCAUCCCGCGUGUGCGAUGAAGGCCUUCGGGUUGUAAAGCACUUUUGGCAGGAAAGAAACGUCAUGGGCUAAUACCCCGUGAAACUGACGGUACCUGCAGAAUAAGCACCGGCUAACUACGUGCCAGCAGCCGCGGUAAUACGUAGGGUGCAAGCGUUAAUCGGAAUUACUGGGCGUAAAGCGUGCGCAGGCGGUUCGGAAAGAAAGAUGUGAAAUCCCAGAGCUUAACUUUGGAACUGCAUUUUUAACUACCGAGCUAGAGUGUGUCAGAGGGAGGUGGAAUUCCGCGUGUAGCAGUGAAAUGCGUAGAUAUGCGGAGGAACACCGAUGGCGAAGGCAGCCUCCUGGGAUAACACUGACGCUCAUGCACGAAAGCGUGGGGAGCAAACAGGAUUAGAUACCCUGGUAGUCCACGCCCUAAACGAUGUCAACUAGCUGUUGGGGCCUUCGGGCCUUGGUAGCGCAGCUAACGCGUGAAGUUGACCGCCUGGGGAGUACGGUCGCAAGAUUAAAACUCAAAGGAAUUGACGG